UACGUAGGGACCAAGCGUUGUUCGGAUUUACUGGGCGUAAAGCGCACGUAGGCGGAUUGUUAAGUCAGGGGUGAAAUCCCGGAGCUCAACUCCGGAACUGCCUUUGAUACUGGCAAUCUAGAGACUGGAAGAGGUUAGUGGAAUUCCCAGUGUAGAGGUGAAAUUCGUAGAUAUUGGGAAGAACACCAGUGGCGAAGGCGGCUAACUGGUCCAGUACUGACGCUGAGGUGCGAAAGCGUGGGGAGCAAACAGG
rnacentral:rRNA from 1 species